rnacentral:lncRNA from 1 species
GGAUGACUAGAGGAUUUAGUAAGGGUAGGCGACAUAGUUAGGGGAGGGUUCAAAAGUACAAUAGAUGGGGAAGGAUGGGAGGAGAAUGGUGGUAGACAUAGGUGGGAGCGAUCUAUAUGUAUUUCCGUACUCUGUUUGAACUUUAAAUUUAUUUUACUGGAAUAUGUGCUCACUAUAUGUCAUUGCAGAUCCAGUAGAACGAGAAGAGGAGCUGAAAACUCAGGUAGUAGGACAAUACCUAGAGGAAGCAAAUUGAUAGUGUAAUAGUCAUUAAUUUUCAUUUAUUAUUCGGGAUAGUAAGUUGUAAAUUGAAACACUAAAAUUGCUUAAAGUAGACUUAACGAGUUGCAUGUAUACUAGACUUUUGAUCUUGGAUG